rnacentral:miRNA from 1 species
ACACCGUUGGAUAUUGGACGGAUG